CGAAUUUCGCCAAGGCUACUCUAUAAAAAAAUAUUGAUAAAGACAAACAAUAUUUAAUCUAUGUAUUCUCAAUUUGACCACAGACGUCGAGAACAAAUAAAAUAGUAUGCAUGCGUGUGUGCGUCAAAUACAUGCCUUGUAGCUUGCAUACGUUCACUCUCCCAUGAGUAUGAGUUCCCACUCACAUCUUCACUUUGAGGUUACAGAAAAAUUUUCAACUGAAAUCAAGAAAAUUUAUAACAUAUUAGCGGACCCGGCGAACAUUGUUCCGCCUUAGAGGCAAUAAAUUAGCAGACUUUUGAUUUUAUAAGUGUCAAUUUUUUAUUUGAAUAAUUAAUGUAAAUUAAAAAAGCAAUUAUUUUAAUGAUUCUUUAUUGGCCAUGUAAUUUAGUUGUUAUUAUUAUUAUAUUUUCUUGUUCUU